CGAAAAAUCAUGGCAAUUAUAUUUUGGGCAUAAAAUACAUUCAUAAAAGUUAAAGUUUGGUCAAAAAUAAUAAACCUAAAAGAAAAUGGAAAUUUUAGGGCAUUUUGUGUUAAAUGCCUAAUUUUACCGAAAUGGGGAAUUUUAUUCUAUGAAUGGACCUUAGGUUAAAUUUUAUUAUGUGAUUAAUUAAAUUAAAUGUGAGAGACAUUUAAUUUAAUUAAUUAAUGUUAAGUUUGGUGAUUAAAACUUAAUAAGAGUGAAAAAGGUGUCAAAAGCCAAUUUGGACUUUUCUUCUUAUGAAACAUUAAUAACCUUUAUAUAAAAAAAAAAAAAAAAAAAAUUGAAAUGAUCAUAUAUAUAGCAAGGGUUGGCCGGCCAUGUGCUACUUUAGAGUGGUGUGAACCCAAAUGUUAUAAAGUUUAACUCCCAUUUAAUGAAGAAGUCAAGUGGGCAAGUGGGUAGAAAAGCACUUAAGUGCUUUGUGAUAUUUUGAUGAGUUUUGUGAGCAAUUCCCACACUAAGAACCGAUCACUCUCCCUCUCUCAUUCACUCAUCUGAUUUUUGGAGACCUCUCAAAGUGUUCUCUCCAUUUUUCAAGCCCAAGAACACCAAGGAAACUUUGAGGCUAAGUCUUGGUCUAGGAAGUAUUUUCCCUAAGUUUGUUAGGGUUUUUGAAAGGUUUUGAAGGAGUCAAAGCUUAUAGGAAGGUCCAAACCUUAAGCAAGAACACCAAAGAGGUAAAAAGUUUACUUUUGAUGAUUUUGUUGUAGGGUUUUUAGUUUUAAGCAUUAUUUUGUAUAUCUAAUGCUUAAAGUUUCUUGUUGGUGAUGUAAUAAGGUUAUGGUAGUUUUUUAAUAAUUUUUAUGAUGCAUGUGUAUUGAUUUUUGAAAA